UACGGGGGGAGCAAGCGUUGUUCGGAUUUACUGGGCGUAAAGGGCGCGUAGGCGGCCGACCAAGUCGGGUGUGAAAUCCCUCGGCUCAACCGAGGAACUGCAUUCGAUACUGGUUGGCUAGAGUCCGGGAGGGGAUGGUGGAAUUCCCAGUGUAGCGGUGAAAUGCGUAGAUAUUGGGAAGAACACCGGUGGCGAAGGCGGCCAUCUGGACCGGCACUGACGCUGAGGCGCGAAAGCCAGGGGAGCGAAUGGG
rnacentral:rRNA from 1 species